AUUCCGCCCUUCCCAGUAGUCAUAUGGCUUGUCUCCAAAGGUUAAGGCCAUGCAUGUCAAAGUAUAAGCAAUUAUACCCGUGAAACUGCGAAUGGCUCAUUAAAUCAGUUAUCGUUUAUUUGAUAGUACCUUACUACAUGGAUAACCGUGGUAAUUCUAGAGCUAAUACAUGCUAAAAACCCCGACUUCCGGGAGGGGUGUAUUUAUUAGAUAAAAAACCAAUGCCCUUCGGGGCUCCCUGGUGAUUCAUAAUAACUUCUCAGAUCGCAUGGCCUUGCGCCGGCGACGGUUCAUUCAAAUUUCUGCCCUAUCAACUUUCGAUGGUAAGGUAUUGGCUUACCAUGGUUUCAACGGGUAACGGGGAAUUAGGGUUCGAUUCCGGAGAGGGAGCCUGAGAAACGGCUACCACAUCCAAGGAAGGCAGCAGGCGCGCAAAUUACCCAAUCCCGACACGGGGAGGUAGUGACAAUAAAUACUGAUCCAGGGCUCUUUAGGGUCUUGGAAUUGGAAUGAGUACAAUUUAAACCUCUUAACGAGGAACAAUUGGAGGGCAAGUCUGGU
rnacentral:rRNA from 1 species